CAUUGACACUCGAACCCCAAAAUUUGAGAUCUUAAUCCACAAAAAUCUUCUUAUACUUCAAUCUAAUUAUUCAAUUGACCUUAAAAUUUGCAUUUAUUUUUACAACUAAUACAUCAACAUACUAUCUAAAUUUCACUUAUAGACACACUACAAAACUCAAGGAAUUUUCAAAUUUAUAAACAUAUUUUUAUUUAUCAAACCCUAAUUCCACCAAAAACAUCAAUAACUUUGAAAAUCCUU
rnacentral:lncRNA from 1 species